GAUGAAGAACGCAGCGAAAUGCGAUAAGUAAUGUGAAUUGCAGAAUUCAGUGAAUCAUCGAAUCUUUGAACGCACAUUGCGCCCGCUAGUAUUCUGGCGGGCAUGCCUGUCCGAGCGUCAUUUCAACCCUCAAGCCUCCGGGCUUGGUGUUGGGGAUCGGCGAGCCUCCGCGCCCGCCGUCCCCUAAAUCUAGUGGCGGUCUCGCUGUAGCUUCCUCUGCGUAGUAGCACACCUCGCACUGGGAAACAGCGCGGCCACGCCGUUAAACCCCCAACUUCUGAACGUUUGACCUCGGAUCAGGUAGGAAUACCCGCUGAACUUAAGCAUAUCAAUAAGCGGAGGA
rnacentral:misc_RNA from 1 species